rnacentral:rRNA from 1 species
AACGAACGCUGGCGGCAUGCCUAAUACAUGCAAGUCGAACGAGAUCUUCGGAUCUAGUGGCGCACGGGUGCGUAACGCGUGGGAAUCUGCCCUUGGGUUCGGAAUAACUUCUGGAAACGGAAGCUAAUACCGGAUGAUGACGUAAGUCCAAAGAUUUAUCGCCCAAGGAUGAGCCGCGUAGGAUUAGCUAGUUGGUGAGGUAAAGGCUCACCAAGGCGACGAUCCUUAGCUGGUCUGAGAGGAUGAUCAGCCACACUGGGACUGAGACACGGCCCAGACUCCUACGGGAGGCAGCAGUAGGGAAUAUUGGACAAGGGGCGAAAGCCUGAUCCAGCAAUGCCGCGUGAGUGAUGAAGGCCUUAGGGUUGUAAAGCUCUUUUACCCGGGAUGAUAAUGACAGUACCGGGAGAAUAAGCUCCGGCUAACUCCGUGCCAGCCGCCGCUGUAACAC